rnacentral:rRNA from 1 species
GUGAGGAAUCUUGCGCAAUGGGCGAAAGCCUGACGCAGCGACGCCGCGUGGAGGAUGAAGGUCUUCGGAUCGUAAACUCCUGUCGAGCGGGACGAAUCCCGGAAGGGCAAACAGGCCUUCCGGUUGACGGUACCGCUGGAGGAAGCCCCGGCUAACUCCGUGCCAGCAGCCGCGGUAAUACGGAGGGGGCCAGCGUUGUUCGGAAUCAUUGGGCGUAAAGGGCGCGUAGGCGGCCGAGCAAGUCAGAGGUGAAAUACUCCGGCUCAACUGGGGAAUUGCCUCUGAAACUGCUCGGCUUGAGUCCUGGAGAGGGUAGUGGAAUUCCCAGUGUAGCGGUGAAAUGCGUAGAUACUGGGAGGAACACCGGUGGCGAAGGCGGCUACCUGGACAGGUACUGACGCUGAGGCGCGAAAGCUAGGGGAGCAAACAGGAUUAGAAACCCUAGUAGUCC